GAAAUUUUCAAGUUUUUUUGAAUUUUUUUAUUUUUUUCUUAUUUUUUAUGCCUUCUUCUAUUUAAAGCGUUAUUUGAGUGAAAAGAAACUCAUUCCAACCAAUUCGCAUCAAAAUAAAUCAAUUUUUAAAAUUUUGCUAAAUUUCCCAAAAAAAACCAAGGCUAACCCCUUAAGAAAUUUUCAAGUUUUUCGAUUUUUUUAAUUUUUUUCUUAUUUUUUAUGCUUUCUUCUAUUUAAAGCGUUAUUUGAGUGAAAAGAAACUCAUCCCAAUCAAUUCGCAUCAAAAUAAAUCAAUUUUUAAAAUUUUGCUAAAUUUCCCAAAAAAACCAAGGCUAACCCCUUAAGAAAUUUUCAAGUUUUUCGAUUUUUUUUAUUUUUUUCUUAUUUUUUAUGCUUUCUUCUAUUUAAAGCGUUAUUUGAGUGAAAAGAAACUCAUCCCAAUCAAUUCGCAUCAAAAUAAAUCAAUUUUUAAAAUUUUGCUAAAUUUCCCAAAAAAACCAAGGCUAACCCCUUAAGAAAUUUUCAAGUUUUUUGAAUUUUUUUAUUUUUUUCUUAUUUUUUAUGCUUUCUUCUAUUUAAAGCGUUAUUUGAGUGAAAAGAAACUUAUUCCAACCAAUUCGCAUCAAAAUAAAUCAAUUUUUAAAAUUUUGCUAAAUUUCCCAAAAAAACCAAGGCUAACCCCUUAAGAAAUUUUCAAGUUUUUUGAUUUUUUUUAUUUUUUUCUUAUUUUUUAUUCUUUUUUUUAUUUA